UAUAACUAAGUAAUCGAGAGCUCGACGAAAAUGUCUGGGAGAUAUCUAGCGUAUAUCUUGAUGAUUUUUGGGUACUGGAAUAUAGUUUUUGGCAUAGUUAUAACCUAUUUUCAAGCAUACGAACUUGAUUCAUUUUACGAUUACUACGAAGUGAAAGGUUUUAUUGGAUUUUUCAAUACGGCAGAUUUACCUGACCCAAUUUUAUAUGAAAACAAAUUUAAGAUAAAUGGCUAUUUCUUCGAGAUACUUUCUCUUGACGUCUAUAAGGGACUUUUUCCUAUUGGCAUCCUGCUGGGAGUGUGGCACACCGGAUCGGGGAUAUUAACAUUGCUUGGUAUAAGAAACGUGAGUUGGCAUCUGUGCAGCUAUCGGUGUUCCAAUCUGACUUUUCUCCCUUGAGUCCCCGUCCCCCAGAAAUGUAAGAUCUAUUUCUCUACUGGCUUAGUUCUAAGCAGCUUUCUUCCCUACUUCAUGUUUUUCUUGUACUUGUGGAUAUUUCAGAUUAUUUUUACCCUCCUAGCCUGGCGACUCUUAAAAAAAGAUUGGUAUUGGAAAGAUUAGGCUAACCAAAUCAAUGAUGGAAGCCGUUGAAAGCUCCUGCUUAGCUUAAGUUUAAUUACGAUUAUAAUUGCACACCGAACACUUUUUACACAUAUACAAAACCAAAAGGUAUUAAAUUGGAUGGCCGUAUUUUAAUUAUAUUUUAAUAUCCUUCAUUCCAGUUAUAUUGAAUUAUUGAAAUCACAUUGUUGUGUUAUUUCAAAUGGUUCAUUCAAUAUCCGAUUUAAAUGGGUUUUUAUCUGGGUACACCCUGCCGUUUACUGACUAGCUUAAGAUCCAUCGUUUGCAUCUAAAUUUCAAAGUAGAAUAGCACAAGUACAGUCGACUCCAGCAAAGUAAGUGUGCCCUCCCAAAAGAAAAGGCCCAAAUCGGCAGGCCAGGACACCAAGCCUGAACCAAAUCUAGUGUGUGAGAAUCCCCUCCUGCACAGUGACUCCAGCAGCGACCACAUUGCCAUGGCCCAAAGAUACAUCCUUAAAGAUGACGCCGAGGAGACGCACCUUGACAUCGAAGGCUCUGUAUAUAUGGAUGCUCUGCAGCUGAAGCAGGCCGGCCGUAGUCAGACACCCGUGGAUGUUACAACUGGCCAAUGGAGCCCAAGCUGUUCAAUCCGGAGAUAUACAUUGGUAUCCCAUCCACGAGAGAGCAGGGAGCACACGAUGACGACGACAGUAAUGCCUCUUGCAUUACCAUAGCACAUUCCGGCGAUGAUAUAUAGCAUGCAUAUAGUCUAAAACAAUCCUGGGACUGAAUUUUAUGAUAUGUCAAAAUUUCAGAUCAAUCGGUGCAAAACUUUUCGAGUUUUUAAGUGAGCUACAAUCCAACAGAUCAUUUGUGUAUAUGUACAUAUAUAGAAGAUUAUAUAAAGACAGACGCGUACAUGCGUCGGAAACAUUGAAUUUAUUUGAUCUACGAACAAUUAGUCUUCAAAGGUCAUCGGCAACUAGCGUUUUGAUAAAAAGAAA